rnacentral:rRNA from 1 species
CACGUAAGGUGCGAGCGUUGUUCGGAAUUAUUGGGCGUAAAGGGCAUGUAGGCGGCCAGGUAAGUCGGGCGUGAAAUCACGGGGCUCAACCCCGUGGCUGCGCCCGAUACUGCGUGGCUUGAGUCAGCGAAGCGGGACCGGAAUUCCUGGUGUAGGGGUGAAAUCUGUAGAUAUCAGGAAGAACACCGGUGGCGAAGGCAGGUCCCGGGCGCAUGACUGACGCUGAGGUGCGAAGGUGCGGGGAGCAAAC